AUGCCCGCGUCCCACACCUGGGUGCCUGGGUUCAGCUCCUGGCUCUGGCUUCCUGCUGAUGGAGUCCCUGGGAGGCAGCUGGGGAUGACUCAAGUACUUGGGUCUCUGCCACCCAUAAUGGGAGACUGUUUAUUGUUUAUGUUCUGUUCUUUUAGCGUGUCGUGGAUAUCAGGAAAGACAGUAGAUUUACUAGCGCCUGACGUGGUUGGUGAUUGUAGCACUCUGCAGACAACCCGGGGACCCAGUGAAUUUGUCAUUACCCAGGGACCCAGUGAAUCUGUCACUACCCAGGGACCCGGUGGAUCUGUCACUACCCAGGGACCCAGUGAAUCUGUCACUACCCGGGGACCCGGUGGAUCUGUCACUACCCAGGGAUCCAGUGAAUCUGUCACUACCCGGGGACCCAGUGAAUUUGUCACUACCCGGGGACCCAGUGAAUCUGUCACUACCGGGGAACCCAGUGAAUCUGUCACUACCCGGGGACCCGGUGGAUCUGUCACUACCCGGGGACCCAGUGAAUCUGUCACUACCAGGGGACCCAGUGGAUCUGUCACUACCCAGGGAUCCAGUGAAUCUGUCACUACCCGGGGACCCAGUGGAUCUGUCACUACCCAGGGAUCCAGUGAAUCUGUCACUACCGGGGGACCCAGUGAAUCUGUUACUACCGGGGGACCCAGUGGAUCUGUCACUACCCAGGGAUCCAGUGAAUCUGUCACUACCCGGGGACCCGGUGGAUCUGUCACUACCCAGGGACCCAGUGAAUCUGUCACUACCGGGGGACCCAGUGAAUCUGUCACUACCCGGGGACCCGGUGGAUCUGUCACUACCCAGGGACCCAGUGAAUCUGUCACUACCGGGGGACCCAGUGGAUCUGUCACUACCCAGGGACCCAGUGAAUCUGUCACUUCCGGGGGACCCAGUGGAUCUGUCACUACCCAGGGACCCAGUGAAUCUGUCACUACCCAGGGACCCAGUGAAUCUGUCACUACCCGGGGACCCAGUGAAUCUGUCACUACGUCUCCCAGCCUUCAGCUUCUUGCAGUUGCUGCUGUGGGUCUUUAG
rnacentral:lncRNA from 1 species